GACAUGCCGAUGAUCAUAUUUGGCACCGAUGUUACCCAUCCCCACCCUGGUGAAGACAGUAGCCCUUCCAUUGCUGCAGUUGUGGCCUCCCAGAAUUCACGUGAGGUGACUAAGUAUGCCGGCAUGGUCCCUGCUCAAGCUCACUGGCAAAAUUUGAUGGAGUAUCUGUGCAAUGUCACCCAUGAUCCUACUUUUUGUCGCCUAAGGGAUGGUGUCAGUGAAGGCUAGUUCUACCAAGUUCUACUGCAUGAGCUCGACGCCAUCCGAAAGGCAUGCGCGUCACUGGAGGCGAACUACCAGCCUCAGGUCACGUUCAUCGUGGUACCGAAGCGCCACCACACCAGGCUGUUUGUGCACAACCACAACGAUCAGAACAAAGUCGACCACGCGGGAACAUCCUUCCAUCUAAUUGUUAAUAGAUGGGAGCGGUGGCCUUAUGGAACACAACCUGCAGCAGCAGCGAUAGGAGCUGCAGCAGGUCGAGAUCGACAUCCGCCUACCCACGGAUCAUCUGGGUACAGAGCAGGUUUGGGGAGCCUACCAACGUGCAUUUUGUAGCAGCUGGAAAGCUCAAGGUCGCAUUGCUUUCAUUGAAAAUUCUCCAUGCUUGAAAUAUUCACUUCAGGUGAAACUUGGUAACUAUUUGGCUUCAAGAAUACCAGGCAUGGGAAACUUAUCAAAUGGCCUCUUUUUCGUCUCCGCGCUUUAGGGAUGGUGUCAGUGAAGGCCAGGUCUACCAAGUUCUACUUACCGAGCUCGACGCCAUCCGAAAGGCUUGCGCGUCGCUACCAAAGCGCCACCACACCAUGUUGUUCGUGCACAACCCCAACGACCAGAACACGAUCAACUGCAGCGGCAACAUCCUUCCAGAUGGGAGCGGUGGCCUUAUCGAGCACAUCUUGCAGCAGCAGCAGCGCUAGGAGGUGUAGCAGGUUGAGAUCGGCAUCCGCCCAUCCACGGAUCAUCUGGGUACAGAGCAGGCAUCUGUAAAUAUAAAGGAGUUGAAGGCAACAAUUGGCAUGGCAUUACACUAUACUUAAUCUAUUUGCAAUGAAGUUUGAG